rnacentral:rRNA from 1 species
GACGAACGCUGGCGGCGUGCCUAAUACAUGCAAGUUGAGCGCUGAAGGUUGGUACUUGUCCCAACUGGCUGAGCAGCGAACGGGUGAGUAACGCGUGGGGAAUCUGCCUUUGAGCGGGGGACAACAUUUGGAAACGAAUGCUAAUACCGCAUAAAAACUUUAAACACAAGUUUUAAGUUUGAAAGAUGCAAUUGCAUCACUCAAAGAUGAUCCCGCGUUGUAUUAGCUAGUUGGUGAGGUAAAGGCUCACCAAGGCGAUGAUACAUAGCCGACCUGAGAGGGUGAUCGGCCACAUUGGGACUGAGACACGGCCCAAACUCCUACGGGAGGCAGCAGUAGGGAAUCUUCGGCAAUGGACGAAAGUCUGACCGAGCAACGCCGCGUGAGUGAAGAAGGUUUUCGGAUCGUAAAACUCUGUUGGUAGAGAAGAACGUUGGUGAGAGUGGAAAGCUCAUAAAGUGACGGUAACUACCCAGAAAGGGACGGCUAACUACGUG